rnacentral:tRNA from 1 species
GCCGGCGGUGGUGUGGUCGGCGUCAUGCGCUGGCUCCGGUCUGGCGGACCACUGCGUCCAGCGCGCCGCGCAGGCGC